CUUCAACGAGCCCAGCCACAGCGGCCGUUCCGGGUCGCGGCCCUGGCCGUAGGUGGCCAGCAGUGCCUGCGCCUC
rfam:Streptomyces subrutilus strain 10-1-1 1, whole genome shotgun sequence.